CACGUUUACAUAGCUUCUGCAUGUGUGCAGUUUACAGGGAGUGGUAUCUGUUGUUUUACCUUUAAUUUUUCAUUGUAUUGCUAGGUGCAUGUAAUCAGCGCACUGGAUAAAAAGGAACAUGACUCAUCAUCACCCAACAUUUUUUAAAGCAACAAUUCAUUUGCUGUAUCAUUAGAAGAACAUAAUUUCAUGAAUUUUCUUUUGGGUUUUUAAUGCCAAGUCUGGUUGCUGCCAUAAUGAGCAGCAGUGUUUCCGAACUCAUUAAUCUAGUGCCAGGAUUAAUUGAAGUCCAGCUUUGUUAAUUUUGGGGGACAAUUACGAUGUGUCUCAGUAUACUGAGUGACAGCCAGGAAAUCUAGCAGUUAAUGAACUUCCAGUUGGGUCCUCAUGGCCCCCAGAUCAUACAGGAAGCAGAUACAGUGCGAGACUGAGAAGAGGCAAUUUCCAUGCACAGGUUUCACUAUACUGUCACCUGUAGACAUCACAGAAAGACCGUUCCAAGGAACUGAAUUGCCUCAGACGCUCAUUUAUGCAGAUUUAGGUUUGGAAGGCAUAAGACUGUGAUUUAGAGUGAUCCUUCCGCUGCGCUGGAGAAGCGAACCUCGAUGUGGUCCAGACCCAGUCUUGGCUGGGUCCCCAUUGCAGAUGUCACUGCUUCCAGAGAUCACUGUGUCCCUGGCCUGCAAAUCACACCAGCCUCCUUGGCAUGUCGCCACCUCUUGCUGACCCUUCCCACCCUGAAAAGUAACACAGUCCCACGUGCUGGAGGCCGGUGUCUUCACCUACCACCGUCCUGAUUCAUAAAUGGUGGCCAAAGGUUCAAAAGCCCGUGCAUCAAAGGACUUCAGGAGGAGCCGCUGCCGGAAGGAUUUCCUGUGAGUCUUUGUAGAUAGCAGCGCUGAUCGUGACAGUGAACACAAGUGAACCGUUCCUCGAGGUAUAUUUUAAAGCCUGCCAACUCAUGGGACCUGGCUUAGGGAGCCCCUACUGCACAUUCACCGUCACUCUGCAUAAGGCUUCACGGUCACUAGUGAUCACCUGGUGGGUUAUCUGUUUCCUCAGUAGAGUGUCAGGGAGAACAGUAGUGCGAGGGGAUGCUGAAAUCUCGGCACAAUGAAACAUAGAAAAAAGCAUUCGUUUGUUACCCCUGUUUCACUGUAUUGCUGGUUCUACCCUGCAUCUCCCGGGCAGCAGAAUGUGUUCUGAGGCCAAAAGAAUCUUCAAAUUAGUUGUUCAGAUUACCAG
rnacentral:lncRNA from 1 species